rnacentral:rRNA from 1 species
UACGUAGGGUGCGAGCGUUAAUCGGAUUUACUGGGCGUAAAGCGUGCGCAGGCGGCCCGUUAAGACAGGUGUGAAAUCCCUGGGCUCAACCUAGGAAUUGCGCUUGUGACUGGCGGGCUCGAGUACGGUAGAGGGGGGUGGAAUUCCUGGUGUAGCAGUGAAAUGCGUAGAUAUCGGGAGGAAUACCGGUGGCGAAGGCAGCCCCCUGGGCCUGUACUGACGCUCAUGCACGAAAGCGUGGGGAGCAAACAGG